UGAAUCGGUGUUUGAUAGCAAUGUUGAAUUGGCUUAGGGUAAGCAAGCUGUAGCUUAAUGCAAACAAGAUAGAAGGGCUAUUGAUUGAGGGAACUGUUGUACUCAGCCUGAUUUGAAUGGGGUUGCAGGUCUCUUGAAGCAAAAGGUUCACAGUGGAAGUACUAUCGAUGCUCUGGUGAUGGCAGUGGUUAGGAGUGUGUGUGUGUGCUUAAAAACAACUCUAAUAUGCCAACUGUGCCCUUUCCGAGAAAGAUCAGACCUGGUCUGUCAUUCAUGCUCUUAUCGCCUCUAAGAUAGAUUUAGGGCUGCUUUAGGAAUUUGAAUUGCAUGAAUUACUUGUCAAAACUAUGCAGUCCAUUCCCUGCUUACUGAGGCUUACCGAUCAAAAUUUUGUUGUCUGCUUGCUUUUGCAAUUCUCUGAAUGCAGUAACCGUUCUCAUCUCUUGUAAAAAUAUGGGUUUUCAAUCUUUUUUUUAAAAAAAUAUUGAAAUAUAUAUGCUUGUGUCUCUCUUACAUAUAAAACCAUGCUUAUUUAGAUGUAAGAGUAUAUCCUUUCUCUUCUCAUCUGGACAACCAGUUCAGUUAGGAAGGGAAUAAUUUCACCACUAACAUGUUUGGACAAAGCAACAUAGGCUUUCAAAUGCAAAGUGAUGUUUCUUUGAGGAGACAAAAAGCAGAAAGGAAAAGGUGAUGUACUGAUGAGUCCCGUGGACUGUGCUGCAGUAUGGGGGGAAAAGCCAAAUAAAAUAAAAAAUAAACAUCAAAAGAGAAAAACCAGACAGCAUGCAUAGGUUGAGGGGCAGGUAGGUAAGGAGGAAUAUGGAUACAAAAGGUACCGUUGUGAUAGGUACAGAGCAUAAUGAUGGGAAAACACUUGCAGAGACAAAGCAGCAGGAUGCAGUCCGAACUGCAUUCUCAGUACCUAGAGAGAAGUCCUGUGGGAUGCUUAAGAAGAUUAAGAGUGAAAGGGAAAUGGAAUACGGUCACUCAGUUAUGCAUAUAUAUGUGAAUGCAUGCAAAACAAGAUGAAAAACCCCCACAAAAACUUUAAACACAAUAUUACACAAAACAACUCUGUGAGAAAACAGAAAAGUACACAAGAAGCCAACUUAUACAAAAAUCAAACUGAAGGGUCCAACUAGCUUUGUAUUCCUAUAUUGACUCACAGUGGCUUUUUGUGGUUUCAGGCAGAGCUUUCCCAGCCCUCCCUGCAGUGCCAAGAACUGAACAUGGGACCUCUUUCAAGCAAACCAUGAGCUCACAUUACAAGUCAACAGAAUGUUGGGUAAACAUAUGAGAAAAUGAACUAGACUCAAAGGAAACUGAUUCACCCACCCCAGUUAUGCACUUUGCUAUGAGUUUUGUAAGGUCUGGUUCCCUGGUUCCCUGCUUCUCUGCUGGCCCAUUCCAAUGACAGUGGUGGUCUUGUUUAGGGGACAGCUUUGAAUAAGACUUUGCCCAAUAUGUCUUAUUAAAAACAUAAAGGUGUGCAAAUGCAUCCCUGCUUCCUCUCUUUUGUCCCAAGAUGUUUCAGAGGAUCCCCAUACCACCCUACUACUACCCCUACUACCAGCAGAUUUUGGGAGUCCCAAGGAGAAAGGAGAAGAAGGUGGAGCUGUGUUCCCUUCUGCUCUCUAAUGGACACUAUUGGAUUUUAGCCAUCAUUUUUGCCACUAUUUGUCCUUGUCCACUGUUUUUCAUUGCUAAUAAUAAUAAUAGUAGUUAAUACUUGUAUAGUAUUUUCAGGUGAUCAAAAUGUGUCACACAUAUUAUCUAGUUGAAAUCCUAGAUGGCGGGGUGUGUGUGUGUGUGUGAGGCUGCGACAGAGGUCUCAUCCACACUUCUGCUUCUGCUGUGCCAAGAAAGCACGAGUCUAAGUGGUUUUCUGCUUGAUCUGCACUUUCUAGGCCCCACUCCUUUCCAAGGGAAAAACUGCUCUUUAGAGAUAGUUUGGAACAAAUGGCAAUCUAAGGAAAACCUAAAUUGCCAUUUGCACCGACUGAACGCUAAAGAGCAGUUUUCUCCUGUUGGAAACAGUGGGACAAGAGGAAGUAUGGGCAAGCCCAGAGUGACGUCAUGGCAGAGGUGACAUUUAAACUUGACACUUCCUGAUUUGAAAUAUGGUUUGUUUCAUUUCAUUUUUUUAAAGAAAAAAAGGUGCCAGUACCUUGAGUAGCCCUAUAAAAAAGCACUGGUUUGUUUAAUCUUAGUGUUAUAUUGAAUUAACAUUAUAUGUUUUGAUUGGCCUGUUGAUAUGCUGUUCCUAUGACUAUUUAAAUGUUGUCGAUUUGUCUUGUAAUUGUUAAUAAGUUUUCUUUAAAUGUUUUAUUUUAUUCAGUUGUUCUAGUCUGAUGCAUGAACUACUUUGGACAUUGUUUCCCAUGGAAAAGUGACAUACAGAUCAACUGAUGAUGCCAUCAACAUUAUUGUCAACCACCACAACAACACUGGGCUACUUUCAAAAAUGGGAAAUUGCAAUUGG